rnacentral:rRNA from 1 species
UACGUAGGCAGCAAGCGUUGUUCGGAAUUACUGGGCGUAAAGCGCACGUAGGCGGUCUUUUAAGUCGGGGUGAAUCCUGGAGCUCAACUCCAGAACUGCCUUCGAUACUGGAAGACUUGAGUCCGGGAGAGGUGAGUGGAACUGCGAGUGUAGAGGUGAAAUUCGUAGAUAUUCGCAAGAACACCAGUGGCGAAGGCGGCUCACUGGCCCGGUACUGACGCUGAGGUGCGAAAGCGUGGGAGCAAACAGGG